rnacentral:rRNA from 1 species
UACAGAGGUCUCAAGCGUUGUUCGGAUUCAUUGGGCGUAAAGGGCGCGUAGGUGGUUCUGUAUGUCUACCGUGAAAGCGUACGGCUCAACCGUAUUUUGUCGGUAGAAACUGCAGGACUUGAGGCUGGGAGGGGCUGGUGGAAUUCCCUGUGUAGCGGUGAAAUGCGUAGAGAUGGGGGAGAACACUCGUGGCGAAGGCGGCCAGCUAGACCAGUUCUGACACUGAGGCGCGACAGCGUGGGGAGCAAACAGG